rnacentral:tRNA from 1 species
GCCGCCUUAGCUCAGUUGGUAGAGCAACACUUUUGUAAAGUGAAGGUCGUCGGUUCGAAUCCGUCAGGUGGCUCCA